rnacentral:misc_RNA from 3 species
AACGCACAUUGCGCCCAUCAGUAUUCUGGUGGGCAUGCCUGUUCGAGCGUCAUUUCAACCCUUAAGCCUAGCUUAGUGUUGGGAAUCUGCUGUACUGCAGUUCCUUAAAGACAGUGGCGGAGCGGCGGUAGUCCUCUGAGCGUAGUAAUUUAUUUCUCGCUUUUGUCAGGCUCUGUCCUCCCGCCAUAAAACCCCCAAUUUUUUAGUGGUUGACCUCGGAUCAGGUAGGAAUACCCGCUGAACUUAA